rnacentral:lncRNA from 1 species
UACUAUCCAAAUUUGUCCUAAACCUACCCCAAACAUGUAUUUCGAAUUCCAAGCCCAGAAAUAUAUUCAAGGUAUAUGAAAUAUGAUUUAUAUCAGUAGAUAUCAAUCAGAAUGAAGUUUGAACAAAUGACCCAAAGUGGCAGAAAUCCUUUUUUUUUUCUUCUUGUUUUGGUUUUUUUUUUUUAUAUGGACAGAAGUAAAACACUGGAAAUACUAUUCUAAGAGUAUUAGAAUAGCAGCAUAUGAAUUAGGGCAGAAAGCAUAAACCAAAUCACUAAAGAUAGUAAUUCCGCCUAAACAAGAAUUUAGGGUAAAAUUUGAUUUGAACAGCAACCAAACAAUGUAUUCGACUUUAAUAGGUAUCCCAAACCAGAUUUCCAAAGUGAUAUAUUCAGCCAAUAAUGGACAAAAUUGAAUGUAAAGACGCAAAGGAUAGUUAAGAAAUUAUUACUAAGCCUAGCUCUGAUACCAAUUGAUGCGGAAUCCCAGCCUAUUAGAGACUGAAACGACACAUACCCUAGUAAAAAGAACUUAAUUCAGAAAAUAAUUCCCCAAUCUAAAACACCUUUAAUUAACAUGCAAUUAAGAACACUUAUAAUGGAUUGAUUUUAAGAGCAGCAAGAAUAAGAAACAUACAAGUUAGUAUCAAACCUUAUUCGUGAUGCAAUGUCAAGAACCAAGAUCUCUCUUAAGCUCUCAAAGAAGAAUCGCAUAAAACAAUUGUAUUGAAUAAUUGAUAAUCUGUCUACAAUAUGGAAAAAGAGAUGCUUGAUAUAACAUAAAUAAAGACCCAUAACCUUUGCCACUUCCCACUACUAUGCAUGGACCCAUGAUCUAUGCCACUACCCACUACUCUGCAUGGAUCCAUGAUCUAUGCCACUAUCCACUACUGGAUAACUACUCAUUACUGUUUAACUACCCACUACCAAAUAACUACCCACUACUGGUUAACAUCCAACUACUAAAUAACUUCCCACUAUAAAUACAAAAUUUGAAUUGUCAAUAAGGACACAUUUGGCCUAAUUGACUUUGAAUGGCCAGAUUGUUCUUCAACUUCAAAAUGAACUUGCAAAGCUUCAACAUAUUCCUUCAUGAAUCCUUGAAGUGCUUCCUUCAAUCUCUUGGAUCUAAACCUUGUAAUUGGUCCUUGAGACAAUGCUAGCUCAUCAUUUUUGGUGUUGUUGGUCAUGCUUACAUCACCGAACCACUCAUAAGGUCCAAACCCAAUCACACACUAAAAUAACACAUCAAACACAUAAGUAUUAAAACAUAAGCCCAAAUCAUGGCCCAACACUCUAAAACUUAAAAAAUAAAAUAUGGCCAGAAUACAAGUCCAAGCAAAGCUAAAAUAAAACAAAUGUUUAAAUAAUAAAACAUAGCAAGCCUAUCAUAACAAUGCCGAAUAAAUUAGAGAGCGCUAUCUCCAUUACACACCUUAAGCAAGAUGAGUAGCUUAGGUGUUUCUUCAAGCUUCGCGAGACAUUUGUCAAUGGCAAGCUCAGUCAAUUCUUGUGUUUCUUGCUCUUGAAUGUGUAAGUUCAUAGCUGCUUAAAGCUUCUUAGCUUAGCUUCUUAGCUUUGCUUCUUGUCACUGGUCCACUAGGGAGCACCAAUGGAUCCUUGCUUCCUUGAUUCUCAUGUGAUUGUGCUUGCUGGUUCGUAUCAUUCUCUCCUUCCUCAAAAAGAUUUGUCCUCAAAUCUGCAACAUGAUCAAGAGGACAAAAGUCAGACGCAUUAAAGGUAGCACUAACCCCAUACUCACUUGGCAAGUGUAUUUUAUAAGCAUUGCCAUUGAUUCGCUCUAAGACUUGAAAUGGACCAUCACCACGAGCAUCCAGCUUAUUCUUCCUCCGAUUUGGAACCCGUUCCUUUCGGAAGUGCACCCAAACCCAAUCACCAAGAACAAACACCAGUUUCUUCCGUCCCCUAUUUUCCCUGUCAGCAUACACCUUGUUCCUCUUCUCUAUGUUAGACCGAGCCUUCUCAUCUAAGGACUUCACCAAUUCUUCCUUUUUAGCACCAUCUAAACUAGAGAGCUCAUGUAAAGGUAAUGGAACAAGAUCAAGCAUAGGCAGUGGGUUAAAACCAUAAACAAGCUCAAAUGGAGAAAACUCCGUGGAUGAAUGUAUGCUACGGUUAUAUGCAAACUCAAUAAAAGACAAGCAAUCUUCCCAAGUGUUCAAAUUCUUACCCACUAUAGGUCUGAGUAAGGUACCAAGAGUUCUAUUCACCACCUCUGUUUGGUCAUCUGUCUGUGGAUGAAAAGUAUUAGAAUAUAAGAGUUUAGUACCCAACUUACCCCACAAUACUUUUCAAAAAUAUUAAUGGUACUUUGCAUCUCUAUUUGACACAAUCGUUCUUGAUACUCCAUGAAGUCGAACCACUUCCUUGAAGAACAAGUUAGCUACAUUGAUGGCUUCAUCAGUUUUAUGGCAAGGAAUGAAGUGAGCCAUCUUGCUAAACCUGUCGACAACAACAAAUAUGUUAUCUCGACCACGCCUAGUCCUAGGUAAGCCAAGCACAAAGUCCAUAGAAAUAUCCAUCCAAGAUGAACUAGGAACAGGUAAAGGCAUAUAAAGUCAAUGAGGCAUAGACUUAGACUUUGCCUGUCUGCAUGCAAUACAAGAAGUGCAUACUUUCUCAACAUCUUUGCACAUAGAAGGCCAAUAAAAAUGCUCAAAUAAGGUGUCAUAAGUCUUAUGUACUCCAAAAUGCCCAAUCAAACCCCCGCAAUGAGAUUCAAGCACAAGCAAAUCACGCAUAGAGCAUCUAGUGAUGCGGAACCCCAGCCUAUUAGAGACUGAAACAACACAUACCCUAGUAAAAAGAACUUAGUUUAGAAAAUAAUUCCCCAAUCUAAAGCACCCUUAAUUAACAUGCAAUUAAGAACACUUAUAACUGAUUGAUUUUAAGAGCGGCAAGAAUAAGAAUCAUACAAGUUAGUAUCAAACUUUAUUCGUGAUGCAAUGUUAAGAAUCAAGAUCUCUCUUAAGCUCUCAAAGAAGAAUUGCGUAAAGCAAUUGUAUUGAAUAAUUGAUAAUUUGUGUACAAUAUGGAAAAAGAAAUGCUUUACAUACCUAGAGUAGCCUAGCCUAAUUAAAAAAAAAUAAAAAUAAAAAAAUAUUUAAAAACCUAAAUAAAGACCCAUGAUCUUUGCCACUUCCCACUACUAUGCAUGGACCCAUGACUUAUGCCACUAUCCACCACUAUGCAUGGACCCAUGAUCUAUGCCAGUAUCUACUACUUGAUAACUACCCACUACUGGUUAACUACCAACUACUGAAUUAGUGAUGGGGAAUCUGUUAAUGCAAAUACAAAAUUUGAAUCGUCAAUAAGGACACAUUCAGCCUAAUUGAUUUGGAAUGGCCAUAUUGUUUUUCAACUUCAAAAUAAACUUGCAAAGUUUCAACAUAUCCCUUCAUGAAUCGUUGAAGUGCUUCCUUCAACAUCUUGAAUCUCAACCUUGUAAUUAGUCCUUGAGGCAAUGCUAGCUCAUCAUUUUUUGUGUUGUUGGUUGUGCUUACAUCAUCUAGGCACACAUAAUUUCUUACCCUUAAACAAGUAACCAUCAUGCCUAUAAAAAGAGUUAAAAGCUCCAUGCUCACAAGCCACAAACACAUUGCCGAAAUCAGCAUCAUUAAUGUACAAGUCCUUAACAUGCUCAAAACCAAGCAAUUUAGAACUCACUGUAUUAAUUAAAGCAUACCUCCUAGACAAAACAUCUGCAACCACAUUGUUUUUCCCAUGGUUAUACUUAAUCACAUAUGGAAAUUGUUCAAUAAACUUAACCCACUUACCAUGCCUCUUAUUCAACUUGCCUUGUCCCUUCAAGUGCUUUAAGGACUCAUGAUCCGUAUGUAUCACAAACUCCUUGGGCAGGAGAUAGUGUUGCCACACAUCCAGUGCUCUCACCAAGGCAUACAGCUCCUUUUCAUAGGUUGAAUAAUUGAGAUGUGCUUCGUUCAACUUCUCGCUGAAAUAGGCUAUUGGUUUCUUCUCUUGCAUCAUAACAGCCCCAAUACCUAUGCCAAAAACAUCACACUCAAUUUCAAAAGUUUUAUCAAAGUUAAGUAAAGAUAAUAUAGGAGUGAAUGUUAACUUCCCUUUUAAGCAGUCAAAAGCUUUUUGUUGCUCCUCUCCCCACUUGAACCCAACUUCCUUCUUAAUAAUUUCUGUGAGUGGUGCUGCAAUCGUAGAGAAAUCCCGCACAAACCUCCUAUAAAAGCUUGCAAGGCCAGGAAAGCUCCUCACAUCUGAAAUAGAUUUAGGAAUAGGCCACUCUUUUAUAGCUUUCACCUUCUCUUCAUCCACCUCAGAUCCCUGUGCACUCACAACAAAACCAAGGAAAACAAGUCUAUCUAUACAAAAUGUACACUUCUUAAGUUUAGCAUACAAGCUCUCUUGCCUCAAAACCUGCACAACCAACCUAACGUGCUCUAUAAGUUCGUCGAGAGACCUGUUAUAAAUCAAGAUAUCAUCAAAAUAUACAACUACAAAUUUUUCUAAGUAUGCACGCAAUACAUGGUUCAUCAGGCUCAUAAACGUACUAGGUGCAUUCGACAAACCAAAAGGCAUAACUAACCAUUCAUACAAACCAUACUUUGUCUUAAAUAAAGUUUUCCAUUCAUCACCAGGUUUCAUCCUAAUAUGAUGAUAUCCACUCAUAAGAUCAAUUUUUGUAAAGUACCUGAUACCAAUUUAUGUGGAACCCUAUGGUACAAGCCUCAAACUCACACACACAAAUAGAUAUGGAAUCUAAAGAUUUGAUAAACCCACCUCUUAUGGCACCCCACACUUAGAGAAGCUGAAACACCAAUGAUCGAAAGAUUUAGAUGAGAAUCCGACAAACACCAGAAUAAAUGGUUGAUAAGUUAGCUAAUAUUCUUGGUGCAAUUGAUGAAAGUAAAUCCUCACUCUCACUCAAAGCAAUACACGCCAAAGGCAUGAAAAAGAAUUCUAAUAAUUUAGAUUCAAACAUGCCUCUUACAAGCGUUUCUUAUCCUUAUAUAGUAAGGAGAAAACAAAUAAAACCCUAAGACACUCUUUUUAGGCCUGGCUGAACCACACAUAAGGUACAAGCCCAAUCACACACUAACUAACACAUCAAACUCAUAAGUAUUAAAAUAUAAGCCCAAGACAUGACCCAAUACCUUAAAACUUAAAAGAUAAAAUAUAGUCAAAAUACAAGCCAAAACAAAGUUAAAAUAAAAGCAAGUGUUUAAAUAAUAAAACAUAGCAAGCCCAUCAUGACAAAGUUGAAUCUUCACAAAUGACUUUUUUUAUCUUCACUUUAGGCUACCCUUUGUAUAGUUUUGGCCUACAUAUUUGAUUAGGUGACGCGGAACCUGAUGCGGAAGCCCAGCCUAUUAGAGACUGAAACGACACAUACCCUAGUAAAAAGAACUUGGUUCAAAAAAUAAUUCCCAAAUCUAAAGCACCCUUAAUUAACAUGCAAUUAAGAACACUUAUAAUUGAUUGAUUUUAAGAGCAGCAAGAAUAAGAACCAUACAAGUUAGUAUCAAACCUUAUUCGUGAUGCAAUGUCAAGAACCAAGAUCUCUCUUAAGCUCUCAAAGAAGAACCGCGUAAAGCAAUUGUAUUGAAUAAUUGAUAAUCUGUGUACAAUAUGGAAAAAGAGAUGCUUUAUAUACCCUAGGGUAGCCUAAUUAAAAAAGAAAAUAAGUAAAAACCUAAAUAAAGACUCAUGAUCUUUGCCACUUCCCAUUACUAUGCAUGACCCAUGAUCUAUGCCACUACCCACUACUAUACAUGGUCUCAUGAUAUAUGCCACUAUCCACUGCUGGAUAACUACCCACUACUGGUUAACUACCCACUAUUGGAUAGCUACCCACUUCUGGUUAACUACUCACUACUAGUUAACUAUCAACUGCUAAAUAACUACCCACUACUGAAUUAGUGAUGGGGAAUCUGUUAAUGCAAAUGCAAAAUUUGAAUCGUCAAUAAGGACACAUUCAACCUAAUUGACUUGGAAUGAUCAGAUUGUUCUUGAACUUCAAAAUGAACGUGCAGAGCUUCAACAUAUCCCUUCAUGAAUCCUUGAAGUGCUUCUUUCAACCUCUUGGAUCUCAACCUUGUAAUUGGUCCUUGAGGCAAUGCUAGCUCAUCAUUUUUGGUGUUGUUGGUUGUGCUCACAUCAGAAUCCUAUGGCACAAGCCUCAAACCCACACGCACAAGUAGAUAUGGAAUCCAAAGAUUUAAUAAACUCACCUCCUAUGCCACCCCACACUUAGAGAAGCUGAAACACCAAUGAUCGAAAGAAUCUGACAAACGCCACAAUGAAUAGUUGAUAAGUUAGCCAAAAUUCCUGGUGUAUUUGAUGAAAGCAAAUCCUCACUCUCACUCAAAACAAUACACGCCAAAGGCAUGAAAAGAAUUCUGAAAAUUUAGAUUCAAAGCUGCCUCUUACAAGUGUUUCUUAUCCUUAUAUAGUAAGGAGAGAAAAUAAAACCUUAAGACACUCUUUUUAAGUCUGGCCGAACUACACACAAGAUCCAAGUCCAAUUACACGCUAAAAUAACACAUCAAAUACAUAAGUAUUAAAACAUAAGCCCAAAACAUGGCUCAACACUCUAAAACUUAAAAGAUAAAAUAUGGCUAGAAUACAAGUCCAAACAAAGCUAAAAUAAAACAAGUGUUUAAAUAAUAAAACAUAGUAAGCUCAUCAUAAUAAAGCUGAAUCUUCACAAAAGCCUUUCUUGAUUUUCACUUUAGGCUUCCCUUUGUGUAGUUUUGCCUCAUAGGUUUGAUUAGGCUUUCUAAGCCUAUGAUUACAAGUGUUGCACCAAAUCUACCCCAUAUGAGUUAAAGCAUGCCCUAAAUGUAUAUGGAUCAUAUGAAUGUGAUUUUGAACUCCUUUUAAAUCCAUUUGAAUGAUAUAAGUUUGCUCCACACUAUUACUAGAAAUUUGCCCUAUUGGAUUCGUAUCAUUAGGCUCCCUAAGCCUAUGAUUGCAAGUGUUGCACCAAAUCUGCCCCAUAUGAAUUGAAGCACGCCCCAAAUGUAUAUAGAUUAUAUGAAUAUAAUUUUUGAACUCAUUUUUCUAAAUUAUCUUGGAAAAAUCUCCUUUCUAAAUGGGCUGCACGAAUUUGGCUUCUAAUAUAUGGCAAAUUAAUUUAAAACAAAUCCCACAAAAUACUAAAAUAACAAAAUAACAAAAUUGUCAUAAAUGCAAUUUGGUUAUACAUGCAUUACUCAAUCUGAAAUUGUGUUGCACGUUCAUAUGUAUUAAAGAGCGUGUAGCUUGUUUCCUUAUUCUCUCAUACUUUCCAAAUAUAGUUCUCAUCUCGUACGCCUUGAAUUGAGCGAUAGUAACUUGAUUUGUCCUCAAAUCUUCAAACACAAUGACUAGAAAAGAAUUGACAUACAUGGGAUCCUCUUUAAAUUCAGUAUGAUAUUUUGCGAAUAAAGCACUAAACUUUAACAUCUCUCCUCUUUUUUCUUUCAUUCUUUUUUUUUUUUGAAAUCAAUCAAUUGAAUUGAUUUUUUUUCUUUACUCUUCUUUUUUUUUUAUCUCACUUUUUAAAAAAAAUCUCACACAACUGAAAUAAAAAUAUUUUUUCUCUGUUUUUUUUUGUAAGAGAAACUAUAAUAUAAAUCGAAAUAAAAAAUUACAAAACAAAUAAAUUAGAUAAAUAGAAAUUUAUCUAUCAUUGUGCUCUGAUACAAAUUGAUAUGGAACCCAAGACCAACUUGUAAUCAAAAACUCCGUCACACAACUUGAUAAAGAACAAAGCAAAUAUAUCUUCUGAAGGGUUGUUCUACUACACCCCUAAUCAACGAAUGUGAUUAGAAACAUAGAUAAUGGAGCGAUGCUCUACCAAACCCCUAACCAACCAAUGUGAUUAGAAAUAUAGAUAAUCAAGUGAAUGUUGUUCUACUACACCCCUAACCAAUCAAUGUACUUAGAAACAUAGAUAAUCAAGCGAUUCCAGUUUUGAGAACGCCACAAGAAAUUUUUGAUAAGUUAACUAAGUAUGGAAUAGAUCUAUAUUAGAACGCCACAAGAUUAAACGUUGAUAAGUUGCUAAAUAAUGGAGAAGAACCAAAUAUUGUUCAAACAUCAUCUUUAUUCAUUGGUUUCCUUCUGGCUGCCACCUUAAGGGUGUUUUUAUAGCUUUCAAACCCUAAUUCUAUUGUAGAAAGGUGUAAUUACAAUAUAGGAAAUAUAUCUAGUCGAAUAGUCAAACCUAAUAUUACAUUAAAGAUCAUUUUCCUAAAUUGUAUUGGAGAAAUCUCCUUCCUAAAUGGGCUGCACAAAUUUAGUUUCUAAUAUAUGCUAAAUUAAUGUAAAACAAAUCCCACAAAAUACUAAAAUAUCAAAAUAACAAAAUUAGCCUAAAUGCAAUUUGGCCAUACAUGCAUUACGCCAUCUGAAAUUGUAUUGCGCGUCUACAUGUAUUGAAGAGUGUGUUGAUUAUUUUCUUAUUCUCCCAUACUUCCCAAAUAUAGUUCUCAUCUAGUAAGUCUUGAAUUAAACUAUGGUUGCUUGAUUUGUCAUGAUUUGGAAUUUUCCAUUUUAAAUUUUUGAAACAUUGUGCCAUUUCCUUGCUCUUAUCAAAACUGACCAAACCGAAUCUAAUUAAAUCAAACUAACACUAUACAUAACAAUCUCAAAGAAACUUCUCUAAUCACUGUCCAAUAUCACCAUCCCUCUCACUCUUCGGUUCUUCUCAUCUAUUUUUUCCCCUUAAUCUUCAUUCACAAAUCUUCUUCUUCUUCUUCUACUGUUCUCAAUCUUCAUUCAUUGAUAUAUCUAAUCUAGAUCUAGCUCCUCCUUCUUCUACUGUUCUCAAUCUUCAUCCAUUGAUAUAUCUAAUCUAGAUCUAGCUCCUCAUCGUUCUCCUUUUCUUCUUAUUCUUCUUUGCUUUCAUUUCACCCUUCUAGAUUUCUUUAUCUUCAUCGACAUCAACUCCUCUAGAUGGAAGAGAUAAUGUUAAAGGGUAUGGGAAAUUUCUGGCUAAGAAAAAAAAAGAGAAAGAAAAUGAUAUUAGUGCAAUGAAGUUGACAAUCGGAUGCAUGGAGUGCAAGAGUAGGGGAAAUAAAAGAGAAGGGUCAUUAUGAUGUGAAUACUUGAAUUAAAAGGAUUUCUUUUUCUUGUUGUUUGGAUGUACUGAGGGUCUAUGGGCUCUUUGUUUAUGGGAGCUUCGUGAUGAUGGAUCAAUUUUCGAUUGAGAUCUGAUUCAGACUUGUUUAUGUAUUUGCUUUUUUUAGGGUUUGAUUUUUUCUUUAUCUUUCUUAAUUAUUUCUUCCGAUUGUUUUUUGUGUUUACUUAAUCAAUAAAUUAAUUUCUAUUUUAUAGAAUAGAAUGAAGUCACAAUUAGAUUAUAGACUAUUAACUAUAAAUUUAAGUGAUUGCUUAUUUUUAAGAGUUCAACGUUAUUUAUUUUUGGGUUUAUAUAUGACUUACAUCUGAUGUAUUUUCUCAGUUCUAAAUACUGCAAUAAAACAUUCUCCAGUAUUUCUUUUUCUUCUUGCUAUUCUUCUAUAAACCUCCCCUAUUUUUGUUUUAGAUUAGAUUUGUAUUCAAUUUCCUUAAUUAUUGUUUGGGAUAAUGUUCAAUGCUUGGUUCAUGGGUUUAGUUUAAAUCUUUCUUUUUUUUUUUUUAAUAUGGAUUUUCAUCUUUAUAUGGUUGAAUGUUUUUGUUUCUCUGGAGUUUAGUUUUCUGGGUUUGAUGUUCCUGUGCUUUUGGUGUUCAUUCGUGAGAUUAGUUUUAAAUGGACUAGAUCAAACCAAAUCAAACAGAAUGAAGCAUAGACUUGUCCUCAUAAUUAGUUUGGAAUUUAUAAUUGCUCUCUCUGACUUAUAAAUUUUUUUGUUGACUAACAGAAUAAUCAAAUGGUUGUAUUUUGAUAUGAUGAUAGAUAUUUUAAUUGGCUUUAAGAAUUAUAAGGACUAACUAUUUAAUUUUAUCAAAAUUUAAGAAUCCCAUAGUAAUUAUAUAUCAUUCAAUUAAAUUUUAAAUAGAAUUUAUUUCAAAUUAAUUCCAUUAUUUAGUACAGCACAGUCUUUGAAUUCUAUAAGCUCAUAGUUGAUAUUUAUAAUUGAAAUUCAAUUACUUUCACUUUUUAAAUUACCAUAAAAAAUAAUGUCUCUUAUUUCGAUUGUCAACAAAUUAUUUAAGCUUUACUUAAUUCUAAUCCUGAUAAUUCUGAGUUAGCAUUUCUGAUUGUAAUCGUAGUUUGAAUUCUCGUAUCGACAUUAUAGUUAUUUGGUUUAGAAGGCAAGCAACAAUGGCUGCUCGUAUUUUAGUUAGAAUCUCCAUUAACCAUCUUACUUUCAGGUCUGGAAUGAAAUUCCCAUGCUCUUGUUAGAUUUUUACACUUAAUAAAAUUUCAGUUUCUUUCAAAAAAAAAAAAAAAAACUUUAUGUUUUACUCUAUUAAAAAAUUUAUAUUUAAUAAAUUUAUAACGAUUAACAAACGUAUAAAUCCAUUAACAAUAUAUUAGUAAAUAUAAAAUAAAUUUACAUAUCUUGAAUAUUUAUAUAGCAAAAUAAAUAGUAUCAUUAUUAAGAACAUAAUAAACUUAAAUACUAUAAAAUUAAAAAAAUAUCUUUUAAUUAUGUACACAUACUAAUAGUAAAUGAACAGAAAGUUUUAUGAUUUUCAUAUUAUUUAAUCAAUGAAUCUAAUUAAAUAUAACAAAAUGGAUGAUUAAGAAAAAAUUGUUUGAUAUCAACAUUUUAGUCCGAAAACGUUGUUACAUAGAUUUUUUGCAUUCAUUUUAAAUUUUAAAAAAUAUAAUAGGAUUUGAUUUUAGUUAUAAUUCAUUUUAAAAAAAUUAAAUUACUAUAAUUGAAUUUUAUUUUUAUUUAAAUAAAAUACAUAAAAAAUGCAACUAAAUUUGAUUUCAUAGAAUUUAAAAAAUUAAAAUUGAAUUAAAUACAAUGUAUAACUCUUGCGCUCACUAUUAUUAGAGACUUGAUACUCAUAAAAAUUGCUCAUAAGCGUUAGCGGCUCAAUUCCUUAUUAAUUUUUUCUGGUUAGAUAAUUGUAUAUUUUAAAGUUUUUAUUUAUUGUAAACUCUGAUCGAAUGAAUUUAUGUAAAUUUUUUAUUUUGGAGCUUUAGUGAAAUUUUACCGUUCAAAAAAGGUUGUAUGAGAUUUUCUAUUGCAUCAUACCACCAUUUAUAGUGAUGCCAUAAUUAUUUAACACUUUUUUUUUUUUUUNNNNNNNNNNNNNNNNNNNNNNNNNNNNNNNNNNNNNNNNNNNNNNNNNNNNNNNNNNNNNNNNNNNNNNNNNNNNNNNNNNNNNNNNNNNNNNNNNNNNNNNNNNNNNNNNNNNNNNNNNNNNNNNNNNNNNNNNNNNNNNCCAAAAAAAAAAAAAAAAGGAGCGCCACAUCAGGGAGAAAAUGAUGAGGUUAGCGAGGGAGUUCUAAACUACAAGAAACUAAGCAUUCGCUCAUGAAAUAAGCCUGAUAUCAAUGUAUAAUAUUUAUUUUAUUUAACAGUAUUAAAAUUUAAUUUUCAAGAUAAGUCUCUCCUUCACAUAUAAAAAAGAAAGAAAAAGUAAUUAAGAAAUGAAAAGGGACAAGAAAAACUGUAGCCAUGUCUUACAAUUGCAAUCACUUGCCCGCACAUGCUUGACUUGAUGAGAUGGCUUCGACCGUAAAAAAAUACAAAACGAAAAACCAAAAACUUGAUGAGAUGGCAGCUCAAAAGUCAGAAACUAAGGCCAACUCAUCUCUCGCACACCCGUCAAAGAAAGAUCUGUGGCGUUUCUAUAGCUAUUAUUAUUUAUUAUUAUUAUUCUAUUUGAAAAUUGUAAAUGGAAGAAUGGUAAGCUUAUUAAAAUAUCUUUAAAUAUAAAUUUUAUUAGAUAUUUUUAUCCCCUAAUCUAUUUGACUUUUAAUAUUUUAAAAAAAUUAAAAUACAUAGAAGACUAUAUUAAUAAUCAUAAACUUAAAUAACUCCUAGCAAUUUAUAUUCAAAAAUAAAUAAAAUAAUUAAUAUAUUUUCUAUAAGAAAAUUUUAUCUUAUAAAAUAAUAGUGGAUCCAUAUAAAAUUUUAUAUUUAUAUUAUAGAUAUAUAUUGAUCCAAUUUAAAUAAAAAUUAUAUAAUUCAAAUUAUGCUGAUAGCAACCUUUGUGAAUCACCUAAUAGAAUGCGACCUCUCACCAAAAGCUUUUUCUUUUAAACAUAAUGAAUAGGAGUAACCCAUAAGCUUAACCUCCACCUUCUUUCGUUGGAGUAUUAUUCACUUUUUUAGAAACUAAUAAUUUAAUUAUUUAAUCUACUUUUAAAAAUACACUAAAUAAUUUUUAUUUUUUAGCUAUUAACUAUUUAAAUAUCUUUUAUUAACUAUAUAAAUUAAAUAGUUAUUAUUUUAAAAUUAUAAAAAUUAAAUAAUAAUUAUUAUUUAGAAAUUACAAGAACUAAAUAAUUAUGUUUGUAAAAUUAUGAAAAUUAAAUAAAUAUAUAUUGAAAUAUGCAAAUACCAAUUAAAAAUAAUAGCAUUUUAAUCAUUAACCGUUUAAGUGGAGAAAAGAAACAAAUAGUUGAUGAUUUAAAAUAAAAUUGGUAAAUAGUUAAUCAUUAAAAAAGUUUAUUUAAUAGAAUUUUAAAAAUAAAAAAUAAAUAAGUAAUUUAAAUUACAGCAAUUAAAUAGUUCAGUCUAUUAAAAAAAACAAUUAAAUAGUUCAGUCUAAUUAAAUCUAUAUAUUUUUAUUUAAAAAUUAAAUAAAUUUAAUUUAAAUUAUUUGAUCAAUUAAAUACUUAUAGUUUUACUUGAAGCUUAAAUAAGUUUUAAUCUAAUAUAAUAUUAUUUUUUAAUAAUAAAAUAUUUUUUAAAAUAAUAAAAUAUUUUUUUAUAAUUUAAAAUAUAAAAAAUUACUAUUUUAAUUAGCAUAAAAAUAAAAAAAAAUACAUAGAAAUAGUAAAUAAUUUUUAAACUACAAAAAUAAAAUUUUAUUAUAUAAAAAAUUUAUUAUUAAAAAAUAAUAUUAUAAAUUUAUUUUACCGUUAAAUAAAAAUAUUAAGAUUUAAUUUAAAAAAAUUAAAUUAAAUUUAUUUCAACUUUUAAGUGAAAAUAUAGGAUUUAAUUGCAUUUAUUUCUGUUAAUUUUUUUUUCUCAAUUAGUGAUAAUUUUGACACAUUUGUUGUUCUGUAAAUAUUAUGUAAAGACUAUUAUAGUCUUUCCUACAACAUAAACUUUCAAGUUUAAAAAGAAUAUAAGUUACACUCAUAAAUUUAACUUGGUAAUAAGUGUAUUUGAAUAAAUCAGAUGUCUUAACUUCUACUUCCCAUCUCCAAUCCCUAUUUUAAUAUAUAUAUAUGAUGCGGAACCCCAGCCUAUUAGAGACUGAAACGACACAUACCCUAGUAAAAAGAACUUAAUUCAGAAAAUAAUUCCCCAAUCUAAAGCACCCUUAAUUAACAUGCAAUUAAGAACACUUAUAAUGGAUUGAUUUCAAGAGCAGCAAGAAUAAGAAACAUACAAGUUAGUAUCAAACCUUAUUCGUGAUGCAAUGUCAAGAACCAA